AGUGAACGCUGGCGGCAUGCCUAACACAUGCAAGUCGAGCGGCAGCACAGUAACUGCUUGCUCUUAGGGGCGGAGAGUGGCGGAAGGGUGCGGAAUAUACCGGAAUCUACUUUUUAGUGGGGGAUAACGUAGGGUAAUUUCCGCUGAUACCGGAUACGACCUACGGGUGAAAGCACGGGAUCUUUUGACCUUGCGCGAUUGAAUGAGCCGAUGUCGGAUUAGCUAGUUGGCGGGGUAAAGGCCCACCAAGGCGACGAUCCGUAGCUGGUCUGAGAGGAUGAUCAGCCACACUGGAACUGAGACACGGUCCAGACUCCUACGGUAGGCAGCAGUGGGGAAUAUUGGACAAUGGACGCAAGCCUGAUCCAGCCAUACCGCGUGAGGGAAGAAGGCCUUCGGGUUGUAAAGCGCUUUUGUCGGGAAAGAAAAGCAGCACGUUAAUACCGCGCGGUAAUGACGGUACCCGAAGAAUAAGCACCGGCUAACUUCGUG
rnacentral:rRNA from 1 species